rnacentral:rRNA from 1 species
GACAGAGGUGCCGAGCGUUAGGCGGAAUCACUGGGCUUAAAGCGUGUGUAGGCGGAUGCCUAAGUACCUUGUGAAAUCCCACGGCUCAACCGUGGAACUGCUUGGUAUACUGGGUGUCUUGAGCUAUCUAGGGGCAACUGGAACAAACGGUGGAGCGGUGAAAUGCGUAGAUAUCGUUUGGAACGCCAAUGGUGAAAACAGGUUGCUGGGGAUAUGCUGACGCUGAGACACGAAAGCGUGGGGAGCAAACAGG